AAUGAACGUUGGCGGCGUGGAUUAGGCAUGCAAGUCGAGCGAGAACCCCGCAAGGGGGGACCGCGGCGAAAGGGACAGUAAUGUGUAGAUUAUCUGCCCUCAGGUCCGGGAUAGCUGCGGGAAACUGCAGGUAAUACCGGAUAACAUCUCCGGAUCAAAGGUGUGAUUCCGCCUGAGGAUGAGUCUGCAUCCUAUUAGCUAGUUGGUGGGGUAAUGGCCUACCAAGGCAUUGAUGGGUAGCAGGUGUGAGAGCACGACCUGCGUCAUUGGGACUGAGACACUGCCCAGCCACCUACGGGGGGCGGCAGUGGGGAAUCGUAGGCAAUGGGCGCAAGCCUGACCGAGCGACGCCGAGUGUGGGAUGAAGGCCUUCGGGUUGUAAACCACUGUCAGAGGGGAUGAAAUGCAGGUGGGUUCUCCCAUCUGUUUGACAUAGCCUCAGAGGAAGGACGGGCUAAGUUCGU
rnacentral:rRNA from 1 species